UCCGAGUUGACCCCGGCAGUCUCCCAUGAGUCCCCAACCAAAUGCUGGCAACAUGGAACGAGGGUUGCGCUCGUUGCGGGACUUAACCCAACAUCUCACGACACGAGCUGACGACAGCCAUGCACCACCUGUAUACCGACCACAAGGGGGGCCGUAUCUCUACGGCUUUCCGGUAUAUGUCAAACCCAGGUAAGGUUCUUCGCGUUGCCUCGAAUUAAGCAACAUGCUCCGCCGCUUGUGCGAGCCCCCGUCAAUUCAUUUGAGUUUUAACCUUGCGGCCGUACUCCCCAGGCGGUCGACUUAUCGCGUUAACUGCGCCACUAAGAACUCGAGGCUCCCAACGGCUAGUCGACAUCGUUUACGGCGUGGACUAC
rnacentral:misc_RNA from 1 species